AGGUUGUGCCCUUGAGGCGUGGCUUCCGGAGCUAACGCGUUAAAUCGACCGCCUGGGGAGUACGGCCGCAAGGUUAAAACUCAAAUGAAUUGACGGGGGCCCGCACAAGCGGUGGAGCAUGUGGUUUAAUUCGAUGCAACGCGAAGAACCUUACCUGGUCUUGACAUCCACAGAACUUGCCAGAGAUGGCUUGGUGCCUUCGGGAACUGUGAGACAGGUGCUGCAUGGCUGUCGUCAGCUCGUGUUGUGAAAUGUUGGGUUAAGUCCCGCAACGAGCGCAACCCUUAUCCUUUGUUGCCAGCGGUCCGGCCGGGAACUCAAAGGAGACUGCCAGUGAUAAACUGGAGGAAGGUGGGGAUGACGUCAAGUCAUCAUGGCCCUUACGACCAGGGCUACACACGUGCU
rnacentral:rRNA from 1 species